ACACGUAGGGGGCGAGCGUUAUCCGGAUUUACUGGGCGUAAAGGGCGUGUAGGCGGUCUUGCAAGUCCGGCGUGAAAGACCCCGGCCCAACCGGGGGGACGCGCUGGAAACUGCGGGGCUUGAGUACAGGAGGGGAUGCCGGAAUUCCAGGUGUAGGGGUGCAAUCUGUAGAUAUCUGGAAGAACACUAAUGGCGAAGGCAGGCAUCUGGCCAUGUACUGACGCUGAGACGCGAAGGUGCGGGGAGCAAACAGGUUUAGAUACCCUGGUAGUCCGCACAGUAAACGAUGUGCACCAGGUGGCGGGGGGUCGACCCUCGGUACCGUAGCUAACGCAUUAAGUGCACCGCCUGGGGAGUAUGCUCGCAAGGGUGAAACUCAAAGGAAUUGACGGGG
rnacentral:rRNA from 1 species